rnacentral:rRNA from 1 species
GACGGGUAUCCGGCCUGAGAGGGUGAACGGACACACUGGAACUGAGACACGGUCCAGACUCCUACGGGAGGCAGCAGUAGGGAAUAUUGCUCAAUGGGGGAAACCCUGAAGCAGCAACGCCGCGUGGAGGAUGAAGGUUUUCGGAUUGUAAACUCCUUUUCUAAGAGAAGAUUAUGACGGUAUCUUAGGAAUAAGCACCGGCUAACUCCGUGCCAGCAGCCGCGGUAAUACGGAGGGUGCAAGCGUUACUCGGAAUCACUGGGCGUAAAGAGCGCGUAGGCGGGAUAGCAAGUCAGAUGUGAAAUCCUAUGGCUUAACCAUAGAACUGCAUUUGAAACUGUUAUUCUA